rnacentral:lncRNA from 15 species
AUGAUGCUUAAUCCAACACUAUCAACACUGCUCUCGUCCCACCUACUCCUCACCCCUACUCUUCAUCCUUCUUUUUCUCUGCCUUUCUGUGCCACUUCGCUGAGAAGGCUACUAUGCAGCUCCUUUCCCCUACUUCACCAAGGACGUGGAUAUAUCUUCUCCUACCCGGCCCCAUCUCUCUCCCCCACUCUCUCGGUAAGUCUCUUUUCCUCUAUCUCUUCGUCUUUCUCUCUCAUCUUUCUAAGAGAUAACUGUGUGCAAGCUCUUUCAUCUUUCUCCUCCCUGAAGAGAAGACUGCCCAGCAGACACAGAGAAGCAGAGUCAGCAUUUCAGACCUCUAUGAUGUCACAGACCCCCUGACCCAACCCCCCCACUCACUCACACACACACACACACACACACACACACACACACACACACACACACACACACACACACACACACACACACACAAUAAAUCCUCUACAACUGAAACAAAUAAGAAAAACAGAUCUGUUUGUCCCUUAUGACAAUAAUGCAUGAGGGAAACACUAACCAAACUGUGCCUUACAAGAGGUGAGGAAUAGCAGCAAGCCGUAUCUCCACUGGAAAACACUGGCGCACUGCUGCGCUCACGAGACAGAGAGACAGGGAACACAAAACCACUCUGGAGUUGAAGUAGAAAGUCUGAACUCUUGUCUCUGUAUGAUAUAUCGGAAUGAGAGGUUUUCAAUUUUAACGAUAGGUUGGGGGAAGGUAGCGUGGAGACAGACAGUACGAGAGAGGGGAUGAUCGGCACAGGUAAAGUGAUCUAGAAAGUAAGAGUAAAGAAAGAAGGCGAGGAACAGAACACAUGAGAAACAGAAAGAGAGAGAGACAGAGGAGAAGAUAGUUACAGUGAGGGGAGGGAGAAGGAGGGAUACGGGAGGAGGGGAGGUUGAAUGUGUUAAUACACAGGAACACUGCAUCAAACCAAUGCACUGCUCUGAGGCUGGCUGAGCAGCUGAGAGGAGUGCGUCAGCAGUACAUUCACGUUCCCACUGAAGGACAAAGGGAGGGGGCAGAGCGAGCAUCUUAGCUGCCUGCAACACCGACACGGAGGGGGGGAAAAGAGAAAAGAGAGAGAUUGGAGAAUAAACAAGAAGAGGAGAUGUGGAUUAGAAUGCUGCUCCUGCUACUUCUGUGACGGUGGGCUGCCUGUUUGAGUGCUCGCGUGCCUCCUCUCCAUCUCUCUCUCUCUCUCACACACUCUCUCCUUCGCGCACUCUAUCUUUCUCCUGCUCUUGAUCUGUCAGUGGUUCUCUCUCUCUCCUUCUCUCACAAUCUCUCUCUUUUUGUAUCUCCUUCCCUCUCUCUCUCUGUUCUACUCUGGCUACUGCAGUAGUCCACCAGCCAGCCGCAAGUCUGACAGCCACACACAUGGCUAACUGCCACAACUUACUACCUCAGCCCUGGAGAAAAAACUAACAAAUAAGCAAGCAGAAGAACACUGCGGGAGACAGCCCAGGGGACAAACAGCGAGUGGAGAGAAGAAUCCUCAAUACCUUUCUCUGUUUUUGGAUACAGAUACGGAGCCCACUUCCACACACAUCCUCCCAGCGUCAUCCUCUCUCUUUUCUCUGAUUGCAGAAAAGGACAAGAGUGCUCUCUCUCUCUUCCGACAGCCUUUUGCGAAGCUCCAACAGUGCAGCGCAUCCCCUCUCCACCCCCCACCCAGCGCCACCAUCUCUCCCACCACCCCCAACCCCCCUCCCCCCAGGAGGAAUAGAUGGAUUACUGCUAACUGUGCACACGGCAGCCCGCAGCUGCUCUGACCAGGGCCAGCCCAACAUUGGGAGGAAGCAAGACGAACACAGAGGAGGAGAGGAGAGGGGGAUGACUGUGCUGGGAGUUCUUUAGCCUUUUUCUGUCUCUCAGUCUCUGUCACAACGAGGCUAAUCAGCGACCGACUAGCCCUUGGCAAAGUCACAGUGAGGGAGGUCUCUCCACCGAACAGGCGACCAGUCGACGAGCCAACACAUGUACCUGGAGCCGACAGAACUGGGGAUUUUUAUUAAUUUCAGUUGGUCACUUCUUCUCUCCUCCUCUGUCGUGUUUAACUGCAUUAUGGAUCAUUGUGAUUUAUCCACAGUGGAGCUGCAUGCUGGAGUCUGCAGCCUGGCAGGGGGGCAGUUGGUGGGGGCAGAAGGGAUCCAGGCACCUGCCAAGCCUUCAUGGCCUUACCUCUGCCUGUGAGUGCUUUUCAUGCAGCUCUCAUUCUUUAAUACCAGGAGCCAUUUUGUACCCUUGGCUAAUAGAGGGCCACCUCACUUUUUCAGAAAGGAAAAUCAAGAAAACAUCAAUCUCAUGUCUUUCCAUGGAAGGGAAUUAUAAAUGAACGUGAUGCAUGACUGUUGCUUUUAACAUUUGGAAAGAGACAAAAAGGACCACUUCCAAACUAAUGAGGUACGUCACUGAUAUUCUUAUUCAACCUUUUUCUUUCGUUGCUGCACUGCUUUUCCUCUGCUACUUCUCUUGUAUUAAUCUUUCUCACUCUGUCUCCCUCUCUGUCCCUCUUUUUUCCCUUCUCUCUCUCACACAUCAAUUUUGAUGUAGCGUCUCCCUGCACGGUCGAUGGAACUCGGGAGCCUUGAGUUGCUCCAGCCAGGCUAGGGUGGUCUGUCCUCUGGUGUGUGCCGUCUCCCCCCACCAUGCAG